rnacentral:rRNA from 1 species
GAUGAACGCUGGCGGCGUGCCUAAUACAUGCAAGUCGAGCGAACAGAUAAGGAGCUUGCUCCUUUGACGUUAGCGGCGGACGGGUGAGUAACACGUGGGUAACCUACCUAUAAGACUGGGAUAACUUCGGGAAACCGGAGCUAAUACCGGAUAACAUUUGGAACCGCAUGGUUCUAAAGUGAAAGAUGGUUUUGCUAUCACUUAUAGAUGGACCCGCGCCGUAUUAGCUAGUUGGUAAGGUAACGGCUUACCAAGGCGACGAUACGUAGCCGACCUGAGAGGGUGAUCGGCCACACUGGAACUGAGACACGGUCCAGACUCCUACGGGAGGCAGCAGUAGGGAAUCUUCCGCAAUGGGCGAAAGCCUGACGGAGCAACGCCGCGUGAGUGAUGAAGGGUUUCGGCUCGUAAAACUCUGUUAUUAGGGAAGAACAAAUGUGUAAGUAACUGUGCACGUCUUGACGGUACCUAAUCAGAAAACCACGGCUAACUACGUG